rnacentral:rRNA from 1 species
ACACGUCUACAUUAGACUACCCCCGUAGUCCCAGCCGUAAACUAUGCUCGCUAGGUGUCAGGCAUGGCGCGACCGUGUCUGGUGCCGCAGGGAAGCCGUGAAGCGAGCCACCUGGGAAGUACGGCCGCAAGGCUGAAACUUAAAGGAAUUGGCGGGGGAGCACAACAACGGGUGGAGCCUGCGGUUUAAUUGGACUCAACGCCGGACAACUCACCGGGGACGACAGCAAUAUGUAGGCCAGGCUGAAGACCUUGCCUGAAUCGCUG